rnacentral:rRNA from 1 species
GACGAGCGCUGGCGGCGUGCCUAAUACAUGCAAGUAGAACGCUGAAGGAGGAGCUUGCUUCUCCGGAUGAGUUGCGAACGGGUGAGUAACGCGUAGGUAACCUGCCUGGUAGCGGGGGAUAACUAUUGGAAACGAUAGCUAAUACCGCAUAAGAGUAGAUGUCGCAUGACAUUUGCUUAAAAGGUGCAACUGCACCACUACCAGAUGGACCUGCGUUGUAUUAGCUAGUUGGUGAGGUAACGGCUCACCAAGGCAACGAUACAUAGCCGACCUGAGAGGGUGAUCGGCCACACUGGGACUGAGACACGACCCAGACUCCUACGGGAGGCAGCAGUAGGGAAUCUUCGGCAAUGGACGGAAGUCUGACCGAGCAACGCCGCGUGAGUGAAGAAGGUUUUCGGAUCGUAAAGCUCUGUUGUAAGAGAAGAACGAGUGUGAGAGUGGAAAGUUCACACUGUGACGGUAUCUGACCAGAAAGGGACGGCUAACUACGUG